UUCCAGGGAUGGGAAUCGAAACCACAAUUUUCCGUUUACCAGACAGAUGCCAUGUCCACUAGGCUACACUGAA